AUGGACUGGACCUGGAGGAUCUUCUGCUUGCUGGCAGUAGCUGCAGGUGCCCACUCCCAGGUGCAGCUGGUGCAGUCUGGGCCUGAGGUGAAGAAGCCUGGGGCUUCAGUGAAGGUCUCCUGCAAAGCUUCUGGAUAUACCUUCACCAGCUAUGCUAUCAGCUGGGUGCGACAGGCCCCUGGACAAAGGCUGGAGUGGAUGGGAUGGAUCAUUCCUUAAAAUGGUAACACAAACUACUCACAGAAGUUCCAGGGCAGAGUCACCAUGACCAGGGACACAUCCACGAGCACAGCCUACAUGGAGCUGAGCAGCCUGAGAUCUGAAGACAUGGCCGUGUAUUACUAUGUGAGAGACACAGUGUGA